GAUGAAGAACGUAGCGAAAUGCGAUAAGUAGUGUGAAUUGCAGACUUUAGUGAAUCAUCGAAUCUUUGAACGCACAUUGCGCCCCUUGGUAUUCCAUUGGGCAUGCCUGUUCGAGCGUCAUUUAAACCUUCAAGCUUCGCUUGGUGUUGGGCGUCUGUCCGCGCUUCCCGCGCAGACUCGCCCCAAAUCCAUUGGCAGCGGCUUCGCCGGCUUCUCGCGCAGCACUUUGCGCUCUUCGAGGCUUUCGGCGGGCUCGCGUCCAUCAAGUUACCCCCCCAUUUUGACCUCGAAUCAGGUAGGGAUACCCGCUGAACUUAAGCAUAUCAAUAAGCGGAGGA
rnacentral:misc_RNA from 1 species